UUUUAGAAUUUAAUUUAAAGUCUAACCUGCCCACUGAAAAAUUUUAAAUGGCCGCAGUAUCCUAACUGUGCAAAGGUAGCAUAAUCAUUAGUCUUUUAAUUGAAGGCUGGAAUGAAUGGUUGGAUGAAAUAUUAACUGUUUCAUAAAAAUUUAUAAUAGAAUUUUAUUUUUUAGUCAAAAAGCUAAAAUAAUAUUAAAAGACGAGAAGACCCUAUAAAUCUUUAUAUAUGUAAGAUUUUAAUUAUUUAGAUAAAUUAAAUUAUAAUUUUUUGGUAUAUUUUAUUGGGGUGAUAUUAAAAUUUAAUAAACUUUUAAUUUAUAAUUUACAUAAAUUAAUGAAUUAUUGAUCCAUUUAUUAUGAUUAAAAAAUUAAGUUACUUUAGGGAUAACAGCGUAAUUUUUUUAGAGAGUUCAUAUUGAUAAAAA
rnacentral:rRNA from 1 species